GUGCUCAGUGCUCACUUGUAAGUGUUACUCUACUAUAGCAAAAUAGUACUAUCCGACGUCGUAUAUAGACAUAUAUAGUGUUUGCUGUUAGUCUUUAGUUAUUAAUCUUCUAUGUCUUAGUCAUUAGUCAAUAAUCAGCGUGCAGACUGUACAGAAAAGAAUAAAGAUGUACAUUUUUUUCUUUCUUAAUCUGUGGUAUAGACCAGACAGCAGUUAAGUGUUGACUAUCGAGACCACACAUACAUUUUUAAGUGAAAGAAUAUACUACAAAGCCGACAAACGAUUUGAAGAAAGUUUUCAUACAGAAAUGGAUUUAUUGAUUGAUGUUUUGCUACAAGGAAAAGGAAAUACAAACAAUGGUAACACUACAAGGUUGUUUUUAAAAACCUAGAAAAGUGCACUGAAAUAAUUGGGGUUCAUUUUACAUGGCUGAAAUAUAAUUGAUAAUGGAUGUGAAAACAAUUCAAUUACAUUUGAUGAAUAUACUUUGGCUACAACUACAUUGUUUGUUGGUCUUUAUCCUUGGUGCUGUGUACAACAGAAAAUAAUUUCAAUAUGGAACAGUUUCUUCAUUUAUAUUGAGAAUAAACAUUGUCAACAUUUCAGAUACUCCCUUCUUUUAUGUAUUCAUAAGAAUUAAUGUAGAAUUGAUUAUUAUUUGUUUUCAAUCGGUGAGAAAGUAGACAAACUGUGAAUGUGGAAAGGUUCAAACAAUAGCUCAUCUUUUACCAUGCUACAACUGCCCAAUGUGAUAUAAGAUUUGGAAUCUGCAAACAAGGCUAUAGAGGUAGCAGAGUACUGAAGUUGUACAAUAUAAAAACACUAUUUUAUAUGUUACCUUUACUAUACCAUAUAAUGUAUAUUAUUAAUAAGUUUAUUGUAAUUUUAUAUUUGUUGACUUUAAAUCAUGUUUUUUUUUAAUACUUUAAAUUUGAUCUGUCAUUCCUAACUCGGCAU